GCUUGUCUCAAAGAUUAAGCCAUGCAUGUCUAAGUACAAGCCUCAGUAAGGUGAAACCGCGAAUGGCUCAUUAAAUCACACCUAAUCUACUGGAAAGUUACUAGUUACUUGGAUAACUGAGGUAAUUCUUGAGCUAAUACAUGCGAAAAAUCUCGACUCACGGAGAGAUGCUUUUAUUAGAUCAAAACCAAACGGCUUCGGCCGUCUCAUUGGUGACUCUGAAUAACUUCACGGAUCGCACGGCCUUGCGCCGGCGAUGGUUCAUUCAAAUUUCUUCCCUAUCAACUUUCGAUGUUUGGGUCUUGGCCAAACAUGGUUGCAACGGGUAACGGAGGGUUAGGGCUCGACCCCGGAGAAGGAGCCUGAGAAACGGCUACUACAUCCAAGGAAGGCAGCAGG
rnacentral:rRNA from 1 species